UUUGUUUCCAUAUUGUUAGAGAAGCUGUAGUUAUCUUCUUCGGAAACUAUGCUUCGAACCUUCAAGGCAUCAUGAGCAAGUUCAGGCUCCUUUUGAGGUGAUCUUGCAGGGCUAGGUAUCCAUCUUGGGACCUUAACUGCAGAAUCCAUGCUUAAAUUUAAUCCUGGAAAAAGUUGAUGGAUAUGAGAUGAGAUUGAGAUUAGAAGCUAUGGCGGAUUGGAUUUGGGUUAUCAAUGACUAUAAAUGGAUGAAUAUGAUCAAUGACGAUAUCAUGAUCAAUACCUGAGUCAGGAGGAGGGCUAGUGCUCCUUGUUAAGCCAGUGCUAAACGGGAAAUUUGUUUCCAUAUUGUUAGAAAAGCCGUAGUUAUCUUCUUCAGAAACUAUGCUUUGAACCUCCAAGGCAUCAUGAGCUGGUUCAGGCUCCUUUUGAGGUGAUCUUGCAGGGUUUGGUGUCCAUCUUGGGACUUUAACUGAAGAAUCCAUGCUUAAAUUUAAUCCUGGCAAAAAUUGAUGGAUAUGAGAUGAGAUGAGAUCAGAAGCUAUGAAGAACUCGGAUUUGGGUUAUCAAUGACUAUAUAUGGAUGAAUAUGAUCAAUGACGAUAUCAUGGUGAAUACCUGAGCCAGGAGGAGGGUUAGUGCUCCUUGUAAAGCCAGUGCUAAACGGGAAAUUUGUUUCCAUAUUGUUAGAGAAGCUGUAGUUAUCUUCUUCAGAAACUAGGCUUCGAACCUUCGAGGCAUCAUGAGCAAGUUCAGGCUCCUUUUGAGGUGAUCUUGCAGGGCUAGGUAUCCAUCUUGGGACCUUAACUGCAGAAUCCAUGCUUAAAUUUAACCCUGGAAAAAGUUGAUGGAUAUAAGAUGAGAUUGAGAUUAGAAGCUAUGGCGGAUUGGAUUUGGGUUAACAAUGACUAUAAAUGGAUGAAUAUGAUCAAUCACUAUAUCAUGAUCAAUA
rnacentral:lncRNA from 1 species